rnacentral:rRNA from 1 species
GAUGAACGCUGGCGGCGUGCCUAAUACAUGCAAGUCGAGCGAACAGACGAGGAGCUUGUUCCUCUGACGUUAGCGGAGGAGGGGUGUGUAACACGUGUAUAACCUACCUAUCUUACUGGGAUAAUUUGGGGAAAGCGGAGAUAAUCCCGGAUAAUCUAUUGAACCGCAUGGUUCAUUAGUGAAUGACGGCUUUUCUGUCUCUUAUCGAUGCAUCCGCGCCGGAUUAGCUAGUUGGUACGGUAACGGCCUUCCAAGGCAACGAUGCGUAGCCGAUCUGAGGGCGUGAUCGGCCACACGGGAGCGGAGCCGCGGUCCAUAGUCCUACGGGAGGCAGCAGUAGGGAACCUGACGCAACAGGCGAAAGCCUGACGGAGCGGCGCGGAGUGAGUGGUGAAGAUCUUCGGUGCGUAAAACUCUGUUAUUAGUGAAGAACAAAUGUGGAAGUAGAUAUGGACGGCUUGACGGUAACUAAUCAGAAAGCCCCGGCUAACUACGUG